GAAAUGCGAUAAGUAAUGUGAAUUGCAGAAUUCAGUGAAUCAUCGAAUCUUUGAACGCACAUUGCGCCCGCCAGUAUUCUGGCGGGCAUGCCUGUCCGAGCGUCAUUUCAACCAUCAAGCCCCCGGGCUUGUGUUGGGGACCUGCGGCUGCCCGCAGGCCCUGAAAACCAGUGGCGGUCUCACGGCGACUCCCAUGCGUAGUAGAAACACCUCGCGUGCGGAUAGCGGUGCGGCCACGCCGUAAAACCCCCGACUUUACCAAGGUUGACCUCGGAUCAGGUAGGAAUACCCGCUGAACUUAAGC
rnacentral:misc_RNA from 1 species